rnacentral:rRNA from 1 species
CCGGAUUUAUUGGGUUUAAAGGGUGCGUAGGUGGGCUUAUAAGUCAGCGGUGAAAUCCCCCGGCUCAACCAGGGAAUUGCCGUUGAUACUGUUAGCCUUGAGUACAGUUGAAGUGGGCGGAAUGUAGCAUGUAGCGGUGAAAUGCAUAGAUAUGCUACAGAACACCAAUAGCGAAGGCAGCUCACUAAGUUGUAACUGACACUAAUGCACGAAAGCGUGGGGAUCAAACAGGAUUAGAUACCCUGGUAGUCCACGCUGUAAACGAUGAUCACUCGUUGUUGGCGAUAUACAGUCAGCGACCGAACGAAAGUAUUAAGUGAUCCACCUGGGGAGUACGAUCGCAAGGUUGAAACUCAAAGGAAUUGACGGGGGCCCGCACAAGCGGUGGAGCAUGUGGUUUAAUUCGAUGAUACGCGAGGAACCUUACC